rnacentral:rRNA from 1 species
UGGGAAUCGUUCCGCAAUGGACGAAAGUCUGACGGAGCAACGCCGCGUGUAUGAUGAAGGUCUUCGGAUUGUAAAGUACUGUCAUUGGGGAAGAACGGUUUUCUUGAAAAGAUUGAGAAGACAUGACGGUACCCAAGGAGGAAGCCCCGGCUAACUACGUGCCAGCAGCCGCGGUAAUACGUAGGGGGCAAGCGUUGUCCGGAAUUAUUGGGCGUAAAGGGCGCGUAGGCGGGCCUUUAAGUCCGGUGUGAAAGAAUCAGGGCUCAACCCUGAGAGUGCAUCGGAAACUGGAGGCCUUGAGGACAGGAGAGGAAAGUGGAAUUCCACGUGUAGCGGUGAAAUGCGUAGAUAUGUGGAGGAACACCAGUGGCGAAGGCGACUUUCUGGACUGUAACUGACGCUGAGGCGCGAAAGCGUGGGGAGCAAACAGGAUUAGAUACCCUGGUAGUCCACGCCGUAAACGAUGAGUGCUAGGUGUAGAGGGUAUCGACCCCCUUCUGUGCCGCAGUU